ACGCUAGCUACAGGCUUAACACAUGCAAGUCGAGGGGAAACGGCAUUGAGUGCUUGCACUCUUUGGACGUCGACCGGCGCACGGGUGAGUAACGCGUAUCCAACCUUCCCAUUACUGUGGGAUAACUUGCCGAAAGGCAGACUAAUAUCGCAUAGUCUUCGAUGACGGCAUCAGAUUUGAAGUAAAGAUUUAUCGGUAAUGGAUGGGGAUGCGUCUGAUUAGCUUGUUGGCGGGGUAACGGCCCACCAAGGCGACGAUCAGUAGGGGUUCUGAGAGGAAGGUCCCCCACAUUGGAACUGAGACACGGUCCAAACUCCUACGGUAGGCAGCAGUGAGGAAUAUUGGUCAAUGGACGGAAGUCUGAACCAGCCAAGUAGCGUGCAGGAUGACGGCCCUAUGGGUUGUAAACUGCUUUUGUAUGGGGAUAAAGUUAGGGACGUGUCCCUAUUUGCAGGUACCAUACGAAUAAGGACCGGCUAAUUCCGUGCCAGCAGCCGCGGUAAUACGGAAGGUCCAGGCGUUAUCCGGAUUUAUUGGGUUUAAAGGGAGCGUAGGCUGGAGAUUAAGUGUGUUGUGAAAUGUAGACGCUCAACGUCUGAAUUGCAGCGCAUACUGGUUUCCUUGAGUACGCACAACGUUGGCGGAAUUCGUCGUGUAGCGGUGAAAUGCUUAGAUAUGACGAAGAACUCCGAUUGCGAAGGCAGCUGACGGGAGCGCAACUGACGCUUAAGCUCGAAGGUGCGGGUAUCAAACAGGAUUAGAUACCCUGGUAGUCCGCACAGUAAACGAUGGAUGCCCGCUGUUGGUACCUGGUAUCAGCGGCUAAGCGAAAGCAUUAAGCAUCCCACCUGGGGAGUACGCCGGCAACGGUGAAACUCAAAGGAAUUGACGGGGGCCCGCACAA
rnacentral:rRNA from 1 species